rnacentral:rRNA from 12 species
CUUCGGGAAAAGGAUUGGCUCUGAGGGUUGGGCGUGUUUGUGUGUAGUUGCUGUGUUGGUUGUGCGGCAUACGAAAGGACAGGUUGGGGAACUGACUUGUUUGUUUGUGGGCUGGUUACGGCGAAUGCGGUGGUUGCACGUAUGCAAGCAUGCAUUGAACAACCGACUCAGAACUGGAGCGGACAAGGGGAAUCCGACUGUUUAAUUAAAACAAAGCA